rnacentral:rRNA from 1 species
GAUGAACGCUGGCGGCGUGCUUAACACAUGCAAGUCGAACGGUGAAGGCGGAGCUUGCUCUGCUGGAUCAGUGGCGAACGGGUGAGUAACACGUGAGCAAUCUGCCCCUGACUCUGGGAUAAGCGCUGGAAACGGCGUCUAAUACUGGAUACGAGCUGCGAAGGCAUCUUCAGCAGCUGGAAAGAAUUUCGGUCAGGGAUGAGCUCGCGGCCUAUCAGCUUGUUGGUGAGGUAAUGGCUCACCAAGGCGUCGACGGGUAGCCGGCCUGAGAGGGUGACCGGCCACACUGGGACUGAGACACGGCCCAGACUCCUACGGGAGGCAGCAGUGGGGAAUAUUGCACAAUGGGCGAAAGCCUGAUGCAGCAACGCCGCGUGAGGGACGACGGCCUUCGGGUUGUAAACCUCUUUUAGCAGGGAAGAAGCGAAAGUGACGGUAGCUGCAGAAAAAGCGCCGGCUAACUACGUG